AGACAACAAGACUCCUCGUUGAAUCCAGUGAACCACAAGACUCCUCGAAGUGGGCUGCAUCAACCCGUUUUUCUCUUGAAAAAGAACCAUUAAUGCUCGUUGAAAUGAACUUCUCAACAAAUAAAUUUUUUUACACACAAUACAUCAUAUACCAGCCAGAUACACUCAAUACACACAAAAAAAACCACAAACAGCAAGAUAAACUUCAUGCCCGCUUGCUCCGAGCUGCACGCCACACACACCGCACGACACCAUGCAUGCAUGCGUGUAGACUGCACCACCAAUGAUUGAGGUGCAAUGCUGGGGCGUCCAGGCUACCAUGGCAAAGUGAACCUCAUGUCGGCGGCGGCCGAACUACAUAGAGAGAUUUCAUAAAAAUCAUUAGAAACUGAGUUCACCCAAAUCAACAAUAAUAAUCUGAAAAAAUACACAAAAAUUGUUUGGCGAACAGCAAGCCGCUAUCUCGGAGAUGCUACGGCGGUGAGAGAGAGGCGCUCCCCGGGCCCCUGUUGCUGGAACCGCGCGCUGGAGACGAUGACUGUGCAUAGCCAGUGAAGCGGCAGCCUAGGAUGCCCUACGAUACAGAUGGACCUGACGUCCCUUUUUUGAUCUGGUCGCCGUCGGGGGUCGCGGCAGCUCACUGUUGAUAACCAUCGCGGGCUGAGGAUGGAGGCGCCGGCCAGGGGGGUUGUUGGGAGGUAGAGGGGUGCUCAUCGGCUCGCCGUCCAUGCAGAAGAGUGCAGAGAGGAGGGGCAUUCCGCCCCGAUGCCGCGGUGGCCAGUGUCCACAAGGACAAAACCGAGCUGCAUAUGGUGGCGCAACCGAGCUGCACUAGGGCGGCGGUUGCCGGCCCGGAUCCGCCGCGGGAGGCACACGGGAGGCGCGCUGGGGCCGAUUGCGGGCCCGGAUCCGCCGCCGGGAGCAUGCACUGGCGAGACGAAUCGGUGUGUAUUGAUCUCAACAGGGAUAGGAGGCCUGCAACAGAGGAGGGGAGAAGGUGGAGCCAGAUCUGGCUACCGGGGCGUGCCUGGCCGUCACCGGUUGAUUUCGUGGCCGUGGAGCCGCGGGGAGGCAGUUGAGGUGCGUCGGUGUGUGGCGCAGGGAGCUGGGCAGGUGCAUGGAGAGGAGGCAGCGCGGGGAGUUGGGCUGGUGGCGCUGGGAGCCGAGGCCGCACUGGUCGGCGGCGGAGGGAGGUCGUCGCCGGAGGUAAAAGGAGGAGACGGAGGGGAAGGGGAUCCCGACCUUGUGGGAUCGUGGCGAGGUGCACCGGCAGCGGUUAAUGAAGGUGGGGGGCGAGCGCGCCACUGCGUGGU
rnacentral:rRNA from 1 species